rnacentral:rRNA from 1 species
GCAGGGAAUCUUGCGCAAUGGGCGAAAGCCUGACGCAGCGACACCGCGUGGGGGAAGAAGGCCUUCGGGUCGUAAACUCCUUUUCUGGGGGAAGAGUAAGGACGGUACCCCAGGAAUAAGCCUCGGCUAACUACGUGCCAGCAGCCGCGGUAAUACGUAGGAGGCGAGCGUUGUCCGGAUUUACUGGGCGUAAAGGGCGUGUAGGCGGUUCGGGAAGUCUUUGGUGAAAUCUCCCGGCUCAACUGGGAGGGGUCCAGAGAUACUCCCGAGCUAGAGGGCAGUAGAGGAGAGUGGAAUUCCCGGUGUAGUGGUGAAAUGCGUAGAUAUCGGGAGGAACACCAGUGGCGAAAGCGGCUCUCUGGGCUGUACCUGACGCUGAGGCGCGAAAGCGUGGGGAGCAAACCGG